ensembl:lncRNA
GGGGUAGGGCGGGCAACACAGACCGGAAGGUGCUGUUGCCAGGGUGAUGGACCAGCAUCAGCUGCCUUCGCUGCAGUCGGAGAUCCAGGAGUUGGCAGUGCGGAAUGGUUUGCGGAACCUGAGCGAUCUCUCGUCCCUUCGCGACCAUUUCAACUCUGGCCGUAGUUGUAUCGCUUGCGGUGCCAAGGUUUCAGGCCUUCUGCUUUCCUGGGGUUAUUUCCUGGUUGUUCGAUGACUCCGCCAUUGGAUGGGAAGGAAAGAACGUGGGGCUGAAAUCCUUCAGUGGCCAGGCUGGACUAUUGCGACAUUUUGAGAUUUCCAUCAUGUGGACCUUGUUAGAAGUGAUGGACGAUGGGCACUUUCAGCUGCAGCCAGAUGUCCCCAGGGCGCGGUUCUCAGCUCAGCAUGACUGUCCUCAUUGAAUCACAAGUUACAGAGGAGCCCUCUGACUUAGAGAAAGUGAGGUUAAGUUCCCAAGAGGAAAGUGAGGUGCCAGGCAGAGGAUCUAGGAGGAGCAACCGGAAGGGGAGGGGUUUACUAAGGACAGCGCCACCGCUGGAAGCAUUUCACAAAGUCCCUGAGUUCCCAGUGAGUCACUGGGUAAAUGCCCUCGCAGGCGCUCCGUUCUGGUGAGACAUUCGGCAGGGUCCAGGCACCAGGGAGAUUUGAAAGAUGAGACCUCCUGCGUUAAUGUUGCCACACAGCUGUGCCGAAGGAAAUUUAAAAAAGGUUAACAAUCACAUCAGGUUGUCACUCACUUUGCUUACAGAGCUUUCCCAUGGGAAAGCCCUUAACUUAAUCAUUAUUAGGAAUUAUCAAGUGUCAGCAUACUUUUAAUGGCCAUUUAACCCAGUGGAAUGCAGGGAUUGAUGCAGGACAUGCCCUCUGACCUCAGGCAGGGUGUCGGGGAGACCUUUUUCUUCUUAUAAUGAGGUAAACCCCGUCCCAUCCCCAGGUGACCACAGAGCUGUUUGCUGUCACUGUAAGUCUGCAUCCUCUAAAAGUUCGUAUAAAUAGAAUCACAUGGUAUGUACUCUCUCUUCUCUGGCUUCUCUCAGAAUAAUUAUUUUGAUAUUUAUCCAUACUACUGCAUGUCAAUAACAGUUUAUGCCUUUUUUUUUUUUUUUACUGCUGAGUAAUGUUCCAUUGUAUAAAUAUAUCACAAUCUGUUUAUUCAUUGACCUGUUAAUGGACAUUUGGAUUGUUUCCAGUUUUUAACUAUUACAAAUAAAGCUGCUUUGAGCAUGCGUGUCUAAGUCUGUGUGUGGAUGGAUGCUUUCAUUUCUCUUGGGUAAAUUCCUCAGACAGGAAUGUCUGGGUCAUGCAUCAGACGUAUAUUUAACUUUUUAAGAAACUACCUAGAAGUUCCCAAAACGGUCGCACCACUGUACAUUCCCACCAGCAGUGGGUGAGAGUCCCACAUCCUUCACAUCCUCAGCAAUAUUUGGUAGAAUCAGCCUUUUGAUUUCAAACAUCCCGAUACAGUGGUCCCCAACCUUUUUGGCACCGGGGGCCAGGUUUGUGGAAAACAAUUUUUUCCACAGAUCCAGGAGGGACGAUGGUUUCAGGAUGAUUCAGACGGAUUACAUUUAUUGUGCAAUUAAUUUCUAAUAUUAUUACAGUCCG